rnacentral:rRNA from 1 species
UAGGGAAUCUUCCGCAAUGGACGCAAGUCUGACGGAGCAACGCCGCGCGAGUGAAGAAGGAUUUCGGUUCGUAAAACUCUGUUGUUAGAGAAGAACAGCGCAUAGAGUAACUGUUAUGCGUGUGACGGUAUCUAACCAGAAAGCCACGGCUAACUACGUGCCAGCAGCCGCGGUAAUACGUAGGUGGCAAGCGUUGUCCGGAUUUAUUGGGCGUAAAGCGAGCGCAGGCGGUCAAUUAAGUCUGAUGUGAAAGCCCCCGGCUCAACCGGGGAGGGUCAUUGGAAACUGUUUAACUUGAGUGCAGAAGGGGAGAGUGGAAUUCCAUGUGUAGCGGUGAAAUGCGUAGAUAUAUGGAGGAACACCGGUGGCGAAAGCGGCUCUCUGGUCUGUAACUGACGCUGAGGCUCGAAAGCGUGGGGAGCGAACAGG